rnacentral:rRNA from 1 species
UCCUACGGGAGGCAGCAGUGGGGAAUUUUCCGCAAUGGGCGAAAGCCUGACGGAGCAAGACCGCGUGGGGGAAGAAGGCUCUUGGGUUGUAAACCCCUUUUCUCUGGGAAGAAAGUUGUGAAAGCAACCUGACGGUACCAGAGGAAUCAGCAUCGGCUAACUCCGUGCCAGCAGCCGCGGUAAGACGGAGGAUGCAAGCGUUAUCCGGAAUGAUUGGGCGUAAAGCGUCCGCAGGUGGCAGUUCAAGUCUGCUGUCAAAGACCGGGGCUUAACUUCGGAAAGGCAGUGGAAACUGAACAGCUAGAGUAUGGUAGGGGCAGAGGGAAUUCCCGGUGUAGCGGUGAAAUGCGUAGAGAUCAGGAAGAACAUCGGUGGCGAAAGCGCUCUGCUGGACCAUAACUGACACUCAGGGACGAAAGCUAGGGGAGCGAAUGGGAUUAGAUACCCCAGUAGUCCUAGCCGUAAACGAUGGAUACUAGGUGUUGUCUGUAUCGACCCGGACAGUGCCGUAGCUAACGCGUUAAGUAUCCCGCCUGGGAGUACGCCGC